UCCGCGUUCAAAGGAUCGCAUUCAAAGCUCACGCACAGUAAGCGACUCUUCUCUCUCACGGGAGAACAGUAUGUCUUGCAUACCACAGGUUCCUUGACUGGACCAGCUUUGGGAGAAAGUCCCCGGACCACCUGACUUCUUCUCUUCCAGGAAGAAUCAUCAGGACUUGCCGAAAGGCGCCGCCAUAAAAGCACAUUCACAGCGGCUGAUCACACGCCUCCCCCUCUUCCUCAAAAGGCCCAUUCCUCUUCGUCAGCCUCGACCUUGACGUCGUUUGUACUCAUCCUUUUCAUCUCGGCGUCCAUAGUAUCUCUUUCCUACGUCGAGGCAGUAUCUGGACGGAUGAUGAUAUGAGUCUGUUCCUUGGGCUUUCGGGCUAGGUUCUACCAACACUGUGGGAUUGGGGUCCGGGCAACGAAUGCUUACAAUGAAGAGACGUCGAGGGAUGACUGGAGGCGGAAGAGAUGGUGUCCUGUGGGGGUCCAAGAGUGGCUUGGAGGUUGCGCAAUUCGUCACAUGCACAUAGUUAUGCGAUUACUCGGUCAGAAUCUCCUUGUGAGUUUCUGUUUAUCGGGUAACUCGACGGGGCUUAUUCUUGAAACGCGG
rnacentral:RNase_MRP_RNA from 1 species